CCAGGGGGCCGGGCAGCCGCGUGAUCGCAAGAUCCCGAGGAAAGUCCGGGCUCCACGAAACAAAGGUGGCGGGUAACGCCCGCCGGCCCCGGACUCGAUCCGGGGUCAGGGAAAGUGCCACAGAGAGCAGACCGCUAACCCCGGAUCCAGGUCCGGGGCAGCAAGGGUGAAAGGGUGCGGCAAGAGCGCACCGCGCGACUGGCAACAGGAGCGGCAUGGCAAACCCCACCCGGAGCAAGACCGAAUAGGGACUGCGCGCCCCAAAAGGGCAGGCCUGUUUCGGGCCGGCAGUCCGGGUUGGUCGCUUGAGCGCGCCCGGCAACGGGCCGCCUAGAGGAAUGGCUGCCGGCGGGGAUACGGUCGACUUGUGCGAUACCGUCCGCGCCACAGAACCCGGCUUACAGGCCCCCUGGCAAG
rnacentral:RNase_P_RNA from 2 species